CGGGAAUGCCACGCUGAUGCGAUUUCGGUCAAAUCAUGUGGCAUUCGAGUGGCGGACGGGUGAGUAACGCGUGGGUAACCUGCCUUACACAGGGGGAUAACACCUGGAAACAGGUGCUAAUACCGCAUAAGCGCACAGGGCCGCAUGGCCCGGUGUGAAAAACUCCGGUGGUGUAAGAUGGACCCGCGUCUGAUUAGCUUGUUGGCGGGGUAGGGGCCCACCAAGGCGACGAUCAGUAGCCGGCCUGAGAGGGUGGACGGCCACAUUGGGACUGAGACACGGCCCAAACUCCUACGGGAGGCAGCAGUGGGGGAUAUUGGACAAUGGGGGAAACCCUGAUCCAGCGACGCCGCGUGAGUGAAGAAGUAUUUCGGUAUGUAAAGCUCUGUCAGCAGGGAAGAAAGAAAUGACGGUACCUGACCAAGAAGCCCCGGCUAACUACGUGCCAGCAGCCGCGGUAAUACGUAGGGGGCAAGCGUUAUCCGGAAUUACUGGGUGUAAAGGGAGCGUAGACGGUGAUGCAAGUCUGGAGUGAAAGGCGGGGGCCCAACCCCCGGACUGCUCUGGAAACUGUGUAACUUGAGUGCAGGAGAGGUAAGCGGAAUUCCUAGUGUAGCGGUGAAAUGCGUAGAUAUUAGGAGGAACACCAGUGGCGAAGGCGGCUUACUGGACUGUAACUGACGUUGAGGCUCGAAAGCGUGGGGAGCAAACAGGAUUAGAUACCCUGGUAGUCCACGCCGUAAACGAUGAUUACUAGGUGUCGGUGGGUAUGGACCCAUCGGUGCCGCAGCAAACGCAGUAAGUAAUCCACCUGGGGAGUACGUUCGCAAGAAUGAAAC
rnacentral:rRNA from 1 species